rnacentral:tRNA from 1 species
CAUUAUGAAGCUUAUAGAGCAUUAGCCUUUUAAGCUAAAGAAGAGGCAACCUAGCCCCCAUAAUGG